AAGCGCUUGUGACCAGACUUGGGCUCGGCUAAUCAUCCAGCGUUCUCGCUGGUGCACUUGGCCGGCCUAGGCCAGCAUCAGUUCGGCGCGGGGGAUAAAGGCUUUGGGAAUGUGGCUCCCCCGGGAGUGUUAUAGCCCACUGCGUAAUACCCUGCGCUGGACUGAGGUUCGCGCAUCUGCAUGGAUGCUGGCGUAAUGGUCAUCAGCGA
rnacentral:rRNA from 1 species